rnacentral:rRNA from 1 species
UACGUAGGGGCAAGCGUUGUCCGGAUUUAUUGGGCGUAAAGAGCGUGUAGGCGGUUAGGUAGGUCCGUUGUGAAACUCGAGGCUCAACCUCGAGACGCCGAUGGAAACCAUCUGACUAGAGUCCGGAAGAGGAGAGUGGAAUUCCUGGUGUAGCGGUGAAAUGCGCAGAUAUCAGGAAGAACACCCGUGGCUAAGGCGGCUCUCUAGUACGGUACUGACGCUGAGACGCGAAGCGUGGGGAGCGAACAGG